rnacentral:rRNA from 1 species
GUGCCAGCCGCCGCGGUAAUACAGAGGUCUCAAGCGUUGUUCGGAAUCACUGGGCGUAAAGGGUGCGUAGGCCGCACGGUAAGUCAGAGGUGAAAUCCCGGAGCUCAACUUCGGAAUUGCCUCCGAUACUGCCGUGCUUGAGGACUGGAGAGGAGAUUGGAAUUCACAGUGGAGCAGUGAAAUGCGUAGAUAUUGUGAGGAACACUAGUGGCGAAGGCGAAUCUCUGGACAGUUCCUGACGCUGAGGCACGAAGGCCAGGGGAGCAAACGGGAUUAGAAACCCCCGUAGUCC